GUAACAUGUCACCGGCUGCAUCCGGGCCUCCAUCACUGCUCUUUACGGAAUGUUUAGAGACCUGCAGCAACACGUGGAGAGGACAGAUGUCCACAGACACAUUAUGGCUGGUGACAAAAAGUCGCCUUCUGAUACACGACACGCUCUGUCCCAAAUAACGAGCGAACAAUGCAACCUUUCAACAGUGGCGUUUUCAUAAUAAACACAAUAUCGUGGAUUGGCUUCUUCCAUUGAGUAAAACACCACCCUCUGCUGGAGACACCUCGCCACUUCAGGGUCUGAAUUAAACCUUUUUCACCCAGGAGCCAAUUUGACUACGAAAUUCUUGAAUUAUCCUCUAUUUGGAAGAAAAAAAAAUUAAUAGAAAUUAGGAUAAAAAAAAA